CCAGAUAGACGAGAGAAAGGAGGCCAAGACGAUCAACCAGAGGUGACAGACUCAGUGGUGUGAUCUCCAGCAGAUAAAAAGAUAUCGCAGACGUCACAUAGCAAGACUUUCAAACAAUAGCCUGUCCACUGACGAUACAUGGUGAGCCACUGGACCAACUGGUAACAACGGGAAAGCCAUCCACACGGAAGUAAGGUGUCGGAGGAGAGACACAUUGGAUGAGCAACAGGGUUCCAGCCUCCUCUUGAGGACUGGCAGCAUUAGUGGAGAGGGUUCUGACCCCUGGCUGAAAGAACGAGGGCAUCACCUAACAGACGCACUUCAGGUGUUGGGAAACACAGGGAGCUGAAGCGGCAGAUGGGGAGGACAUGACCUGAGACUGCUGGGACAGCUGGAAGCCUCACACCCCCUCCAGCCCACACACCUGUUACUUAUUAUGUUCAAUACAUCACACUUGCCCUAAGGCCCACCUUAACACAGACUCAAGUAUUACUCAAGCAGUCGGUGAGUGAGCAGGAUAAUAUUGCUGGAGUACAGGAGAAUUAGUCAUGAACAGGUAUUGUGUUGGCUGUUGAUAUACUGUACCUCUUUAACUAUGAUAUUAUGUUUUUUUCAGGGCUAUUUGGGUGAUUUUGGCGACGCAGUUGCGCAGUAUGUAGUGCUGUUAUCUCACAGCAAGAAGGUUGCUGGUUCGAACCUCGGCUGGA